rnacentral:rRNA from 1 species
GACGAACGCUGGCGGCGUGCUUAAUACAUGCAAGUCGAACGGAAAGGCCCUGCUUUUGUGGGGUGCUCGAGUGGCGAACGGGUGAGUAACACGUGAGUAACCUGCCCUUGACUUUGGGAUAACUUCAGGAAACUGGGGCUAAUACCGGAUAGGAGCUCCUGCUGCAUGGUGGGGUUUGGAACGUUUCGGCGGUUGGGGAUGGACUCGCGGCUUAUCAGCUUGUUGGUGGGGUAGUGGCUUACCAAGGCUUUGACGGGUAGCCGGCCUGAGAGGGUGACCGGCCACAUUGGGACUGAGAUACGGCCCAGACUCCUACGGGAGGCAGCAGUGGGGAAUAUUGCACAAUGGGCGGAAGCCUGAUGCAGCAACGCCGCGUGCGGGAUGACGGCCUUCGGGUUGUAAACCGCUUUCGCCUGUGACGAAGCGUGAGUGACGGUAAUGGGUAAAGAAGCACCGGCUAACUACGUG